GAACUUCUUACUCAAAUAGUAGAUGGCAUACUCUUUCUUCCCUGAUUCGUCUUGCUGACCCAAUACACAACCCAUAGAGUCUUCAAGAACUGUCAAAUACAUAAUCAAGGGUCUUCCUUCCACAGGCGAAGACAUAAUCGGCGACUCGGACAGAUACUCUUUAAUAAUGUCAAAGGCUUUAUGGAAAUCCUCGGUCUGAUCAUGGUGCUGAUCUUUCCGGAGGAGCUUGAAUAUUGGCG
rnacentral:lncRNA from 1 species